UGAUAGUGAAGAAGGCACUUGAACAGAGCCCUGUGCUUUCUGGCAUCCGGGCUAAAGCAAGGAAGCUAGUUAGCUUCUUUAGAAGCAGCACCACUGCUAAGGUAUGGUCAUUCCCUUUAUUCCAAUUUAUUAAAACAUUAAUAGUUUGUGUUCUUUCUGCAGCUAUUUAAUGGCCUACUCAUCUGUGUCUUUAAAGGAGAAGCUUACACAGGUGCAGGUUCAGCUGGGGAUGGCAACAAUGAAGCGAAAACAAGAAGUGGAAACCCGGUGGAAUAGCACAUAUUUGAUGCUGCAACGUUUGGAGGAGUUGAGGGAGCCAGUUGGAGCAGCGUUAGCUGGG